rnacentral:tRNA from 1 species
UAUUUUAUAGUUAAAAAAUAACAUUAAAUUGCAAAUUUAAAAUUAUAUUAAAAUUAUAUUAAAAUAU